CUCCCGUAAAUUAGGUACUGCUGCCACUUUUUUUCUUUCUUUCUGGUUAUAUGUUAUAUGUUUUGAACAAACAACUAAUUGAACUUGCUUCAAUUGUUUGAUAAACACAUUACUCGUGUGCAUGUUUUAAGUGUUGUCUCGUUACAAGAUUCGAAAGUACCUUCUUAUACUAUACUAUCUAGCAGCAUACACAUUGUCAAGACUAUCUAAACUACUAAGUAUGUUGAUUCUUAUUUGAAUAUAUGAUCUAAAUUUGCAAUAUGAUAGUAUAACUGCAUAACUAGUCUAAACGUCUAGAACAUGAGUUGUA
rnacentral:lncRNA from 1 species